AAUAGAUACCCAGGUAGUCCACGCCGUAAACGAUGGAUGCUAGCUGUUAUGAGUAUCGACCCUUGUAGUAGCGAAGCUAACGCGUUAAGCAUCCCGCCUGUGGAGUACGAGCGCAAGCUUAAAACAUAAAGGAAUUGACGGGGACCCGCACAAGCGGUGGAGCGUGUUGUUUAAUUCGAUGAUAAGCGAAGAACCUUACCAAGGCUUGACAUCCCUGGAAUUUCUCCGAAAGGAGAGAGUGCCUUCGGGAAUCAGGUGACAGGUGAUGCAUGGCCGUCGUCAGCUCGUGUCGUGAGAUGUUUGGUUAAGUCCAUCAACGAGCGCAACCCUUGUAAAUAGUUGAAUUUUUCUAUUUAGACUGCCUCGGUAACGGGGAGGAAGGAGGGGAUGAUGUCAGGUCAGUAUUUCCCUUACGCCUUGGGCUACAAACACGCUACAAUGGCCGGUACAAAGGGCAGCCAACCCGCGAGGGGGAGCAAAGUCCCAUCAAAACCGGUCUCAGUUCGGAUAGCAGGCUGAAAUUCGCCUGCUUGAAGCCGG
rnacentral:rRNA from 1 species